GAUGAACGCUGGCGGCGUGCUUAACACAUGCAAGUCGAACGGAAAGGCUCCUGCUUGCAGGGGUACUCGAGUGGCGAACGGGUGAGUAACACGUGGGUGAUCUGCCCUGCACUUCGGGAUAAGCCUGGGAAACUGGGUCUAAUACCGGAUAGGACGAUGGUUUGGAUGCCAUUGUGGAAAGUUUUUCGGUGUGGGAUGAGCUCGCGGCCUAUCAGCUUGUUGGUGGGGUAAUGGCCUACCAAGGCGUCGACGGGUAGCCGGCCUGAGAGGGUGUACGGCCACAUUGGGACUGAGAUACGGCCCAGACUCCUACGGGAGGCAGCAGUGGGGAAUAUUGCACAAUGGGCGAAAGCCUGAUGCAGCGACGCCGCGUGGGGGAUGACGGCCUUCGGGUUGUAAACUCCUUUCGCUAGGGACGAAGCGCAAGUGACGGUACCUGGAGAAGAAGCACCGGCUAACUACGU
rnacentral:rRNA from 1 species